UGGUAAUUUGACCAUGCUAAGGUAUUGAAAUAAGAUUUUAAUUGAGUGCUAAGAGAAUGGAUAAAUGAGGAGUAGCUUUUUUAUUUUUAAUAUUAAAAAUUUAAUAAAAGUUAAAAAUGACUUUGUAAUUUAGUGGGACGAGAAGACCCUAGAAUCUUAUUUUGUUAUAGCUAAUAUAUAUGAUAUGACAAAUUUUGUUGGGGCGACAUAAAAAUAUUAAAAAACUUUAUAAAUAAUUAUUUAUUAAUAAUUAGUAAGAAAGAUACUCUAGGGAUAACAGCGUUAUUAUUUUGGAUAGUUCAUAUUGAUAAAAUAGUUUGCGACCUCGAUGUUGAAUUAAUGAGUCUGCUAAGUGUAGAAGCUUAGUAAGAUAGAUUGCUCAUCUUUUAAAUCAUUA
rnacentral:rRNA from 1 species